AAUUUGUCAUUCACUGGAAAACAUUUUUCCAUUCUGUUUUACUACAUAUUUAGUCUAAUCAAUACUAUUUUGUUUUAAGUCAACUCAGCCGUGCAGGAGAACAGAACGCAAACUCGGCGUUUGAGGCGGACCGAAAAAAUGGAAAACCUAAUAAGUGAUAAAAUAGAAAAAUAUAGAAGAUUUUCGCGAACCGAUGAAAAACUCCCACAUAUAUGUAUAUGGAGAUAGCCGACAACCUUCAGGCAUCGGGUUUUGAGGCGUCUUGGAUUGAUGUAAGGACCAAGAUAGAAAACCACUGAAAUAUACAGAGUGGAAAAAGCCAAAAUUAAGUCAAAUGAGGGGACUCCAUCGACUUUAAGUAUUUAUUGUUUAAACUUAAAUAUGAAAUGUUUGCUAUUGCAGAUCGUAUUUGUUUCGCUGACCUAUUGUAACCAGCAGAUGUGUUGGUGCGAUCGGGCUGCACAUGGGUUGAGUUUGCUGCCAGGUCCCAUUGAUCACACUGUUGUGCGUACUUAAUAUAUUGUGCAAUAUGCAACAAGACAUUAUAGGCACUGUGUUGCUCUUCGUGUGACUAUCCAGCCCUUUGCCAUUCAAAUCAACAAAGGGAUUUUCCACAGCCCGCCAGGCUUUUGAGAUAUGGUAAUUGAAAUUCUUUCACUCUACAGAAGCAGCGAUCGAGAGUGGAUAUGGCUUCAUAAGAUUCCAAUCAAUAGUACGGGAACUUGAACACCGCACAGCUCUCUUGCCUUUUAUAGCUACGGUGAAGUACUCAUCAUUAUUGCAAGACUAGAAUUUUGAAAAAUAUUCGAAUCGUUAUAACGGCCUGGAGAUCCGAUGUUGACGUAGAUAAAUCAAGAUCUAAAAUUCACUUAUAAUCAACAAGCGCUAAUCAUACAGUUGACUACCAUCCCUUAAUGUUGUGGUAGUGGACUCCUUAGUUGCCGUAGGCUUUAUCUUAUUGCGACAACAAUCUAAAUAAACAAAAGAGAUAUAUCAUA